GCUGGUGUGGUGGUGCACACCUGUAAUCCCAGCAGCUUGGGAGGCUGAGGCAGGAGGAUCACUAGUUCAAAGCCAGCCUCAGCAAAAAAGCGAGGUGCUAAGCAAUUCAGUGAGACCCUGUCUCUG
rnacentral:sRNA from 1 species